AUUGAACGCUGGCGGCAGGCCUAACACAUGCAAGUCGAGCGGAUGAAGGGAGCUUGCUCCUGGAUUCAGCGGCGGACGGGUGAGUAAUGCCUAGGAAUCUGCCUGGUAGUGGGGGAUAACGUCCGGAAACGGGCGCUAAUACCGCAUACGUCCUGAGGGAGAAAGUGGUGGAUCUUCGGACCUCACGCUAUCAGAUGAGCCUAGGUCGGAUUGGCUAGUUGGUGGGGUAAAGGCCUACCAAGGCGACGAUCCGUAACUGGUCUGAGAGGAUGAUCAGUCACACUGGAACUGAGACACGGUCCAGACUCCUACGGGAGGCAGCAGUGGGGAAUAUUGGACAAUGGGCGAAAGCCUGAUCCAGCCAUGCCGCGUGUGUGAAGAAGGUCUUCGGAUUGUAAAGCACUUUAAGUUGGGAGGAAGGGCAGUAAGUUAAUACCUUGCUGUUUUGACGUUACCAACAGAAUAAGCACCGGCUAACUUCGUG
rnacentral:rRNA from 1 species